AGUGAACGCUGGCGGUAGGCCUAACACAUGCCAGUCGAACGGCAGCACAGUAAGAGCUUGCUCUUACGGGUGGCGAGUGGCGGACGGGUGAGGAAUACAUCGGAAUCUACUUUUUCGUGGGGGAUAACGUAGGGAAACUUACGCUAAUGCCGCAUACGACCUACGGGUGAAAGCAGGGGAUCUUCGGACCUUGCGCGAUUGAAUGAGCCGAUGUCGGAUUAGCUAGUUGGCGGGGUAAAGGCCCACCAAGGCGACGAUCCGUAGCUGGUCUGAGAGGAUGAUCAGCCACACUGGAACUGAGACACGGUCCAGACUCCUACGGGAGGCAGCAGUGGGGAAUAUUGGACAAUGGGCGCAAGCCUGAUCCAGCCAUACCGCGUGGGUGAAGAAGGCCUUCGGGUUGUAAAGCCCUUUUGUUGGGAAAGAAAAGCAGCAGGUUAAUACCCCGCUGUUCUGACGGUACCCAAAGAAUAAGCACCGGCUAACUUCGUG
rnacentral:rRNA from 1 species